rnacentral:rRNA from 1 species
UACAGAGGUCUCAAGCGUUGUUCGGAUUUAUUGGGCGUAAAGCGCACGCAGGCGGUCCUGCGCGUUUCCAGGGACAGGUGGCGGCUUAACUGCCACAGGCCUGGGAAAACGGCAGGACUUGAGGGCUUGAGAGGGACGCGGAAUUCCAGGUGGAGCGGUGAAAUGCGUAGAGAUCUGGAAGAACACCGAAGGCGAAGGCAGCGUCCUGGCAAGUUCCUGACGCUCAGGUGCGAAAGCUAGGGGAGCGAACGGG